AAUAUUGGACAAUGGGCGAAAGCCUGAUCCAGCCAGGCCGCGUGUGUGAAGAAGGUCGUCGGAUUGUAACGCACUUGACGUUGGGAGGAAGGGCAGGAAGCUAAUACCUGGCUGUAUUGACGUUAGCGACAGAAUAAGCACUGGCUAACUUCGUGCCAGCAGCCGCGGUAAUACGAAGGGUGCAAGCGUUAAUCGGAAGUACUGGGCGUAAAGAGAGGUAAGGUGGUUUGUUACGUUGAGAGUGAAGACCCCGGGCUCAACCUGGGAACUGAUUUCAAAACUGGCAAGCUAGAGUAUGGCAGAGGGUGGUGGAAUUUCAUGUGUGGCGGUGAAAUGCGUAGAUAUAGGAGGGAACACCAGUGGCAAAGACGACCACCUGGGCUAAUACUAACACUGAGGUGCGAAAGCGUGGGGGGCAAAC
rnacentral:rRNA from 1 species